AGAGUUUGAUCCUGGCUCAGGACGAACGCUGGCGGCGUGCUUAACACAUGCAAGUCGAACGGUGAACCCCAGCUUGCUGGGGGGAUCAGUGGCGAACGGGUGAGUAACACGUGAGUAACCUGCCCCAGACUCUGGGAUAAGCCUUGGAAACGGGGUCUAAUACCGGAUAAGCGGCACCACCGCAUGGUGAGUGUUGGGAAAGUUUUUCGGUCUGGGAUGGACUCGCGGCCUAUCAGCUUGUUGGUGAGGUAAUGGCUCACCAAGGCGACGACGGGUAGCCGGCCUGAGAGGGCGACCGGCCACACUGGAACUGAGACACGGUCCAGACUCCUACGGGAGGCAGCAGUGGGGAAUAUUGCACAAUGGGCGCAAGCCUGAUGCAGCGACGCCGCGUGGGGGAUGAAGGCCUUCGGGUUGUAAACCCCUUUCAGCAGGGAAGAAGCGAGAGUGACGGUACCUGCAGAAGAAGCGCCGGCUAACUACGUGCCAGCAGCCGCGGUAAUACGUAGGGCGCAAGCGUUGUCCGGAAUUAUUGGGCGUAAAGAGCUCGUAGGCGGUUUGUCGCGUCUGCUGUGAAAUCCCGAGGCUCAACCUCGGGCCUGCAGUGGGUACGGGCAGACUAGAGUGUGGUAGGGGAGACUGGAAUUCCUGGUGUAGCGGUGGAAUGCGCAGAUAUCAGGAGGAACACCGAUGGCGAAGGCAGGUCUCUGGGCCACAACUGACGCUGAGGAGCGAAAGCGUGGGGAGCGAACAGGAUUAGAUACCCUGGUAGUCCACGCCGUAAACGGUGGGCACUAGAUGUGGGGCUCUUUCCAUGAGUUCCGCGUCGCAGCUAACGCAUUAAGUGCCCCGCCUGGGGAGUACGGCCGCAAGGCUAAAACUCAAAGGAAUUGACGGGGGCCCGCACAAGCGGCGGAGCAUGCGGAUUAAUUCGAUGCAACGCGAAGAACCUUACCAAGGCUUGACAUAUACCCUCUAUCCCCAGAGAUGGGGAGUGCUUCGGCGGGGUAUACAGGUGGUGCAUGGUUGUCGUCAGCUCGUGUCGUGAGAUGUU
rnacentral:rRNA from 1 species